rfam:Paenibacillus sp. FSL H7-0331 NODE_1_length_598685_cov_1.16318_ID_12075, whole genome shotgun sequence.
AGCACCUUUAAACUCAGUCCAGAGAGACUGGCAAGGUGAACGAAUGGAAACAACGGCUAUUAGGCACUAAUGGGUCAGUCUCAUUAUGAAGUCUACUAACGUCCGUUAUCUCCGUAUGUCCGCAAACCUUGCCCUAACGAGCAAGGUUUUUUAUUU